UGGGGAAUAUUGGACAAUGGGCGAAAGCCUGAUCCAGCCAUGCCGCGUGAGUGAUGAAGGCCCUAGGGUUGUAAAGCUCUUUUGUGCGGGAAGAUAAUGACGGUACCGCAAGAAUAAGCCCCGGCUAACUUCGUGCCAGCAGCCGCGGUAAUACGAAGGGGGCUAGCGUUGCUCGGAAUCACUGGGCGUAAAGGGUGCGUAGGCGGGUUUCUAAGUCAGAGGUGAAAGCCUGGAGCUCAACUCCAGAACUGCCUUUGAUACUGGAAGUCUUGAGUUCGGGAGAGGUGAGUGGAACUGCGAGUGUAGAGGUGAAAUUCGUAGAUAUUCGCAAGAACACCAGUGGCGAAGGCGGCUCACUGGCCCGAUACUGACGCUGAGGCACGAAAGCGUGGGGAGC
rnacentral:rRNA from 1 species